CGGAGGAUCCAAGCGUUAUCCGGAAUCAUUGGGUUUAAAGGGUCCGUAGGCGGGUUUAUAAGUCAGUGGUGAAAGCCCAUCGCUCAACGAUGGAACGGCCAUUGAUACUGUAGAUCUUGAAUUAUUAGGAAGUAACUAGAAUAUGUAGUGUGGCGGUGAAAUGCUUAGAGAUUACAUGGAAUACCAAUUGCGAAAGGCAGGUUACUACUAAUGGAUUGACGCUGAUGGACGAAAGCGUGGGUAGCGAACAGGAUUAGAUACCCUGGUAGUCCACGCCGUAAACGAUGGAUACUAGCUGUUCGGAGCAAUCUGAGUGGCUAAGCGAAAGUGAUAAGUAUCCCACCUGGGAAGUACGUUCGCAAGAUG
rnacentral:rRNA from 1 species